rnacentral:lncRNA from 1 species
AUUGAAUACACGGUUGUUGAUUAAGUUGCAUUAACCAUGUUUUGAUGAUUGGAAGUUGAAUAAUUAAUUUACACAUAGUUGCUGUAAAGUUUAACUUAAAGAAGGGUCAAAAUAUGAAGUGUGUGGUUGCGGGGGAGUAAACUGGUUUGAUCUUGCACCAUUUAACUAGGGAACUGCUUCAUGCAGUUUGUGGUUUCGUCUGACCUAGGUGGUGAACCUGAGCAUAAUCGACCUUUUUUAACUAGGCAACUACUACAUGAAAUUUGGGUUAUUGUUCCCUUGGAACAUUAGCAUGAACUGUGGCUGUUUAUUGACUUGAUGUUGCAACUUAUUCAGUACUCUGGUUUAUAGCUAAUAACCUAAUACGGAUAGGUGAGAUUUAGUCAUACUUGUUUAAAUUGGGAGGUUACAGUUUCAGUGGAUCAUACCAUAGAUUCUUAACUUUCCAUUUCAUAUUGUAAGUUUCCUCUUUCUUUGACAGUUUUUUUUUUAGCACUCGAAGUCCAUAUCCUUGAUAUGGCAAUGAAAACAAACAAAGCUUUAUAAUCAAAAUGUGUAUCGAAUCUAUUUUGCACCUCCAUCUGAUUCAUUGCUGCUUACAGGAGUUCAUGUCCCAGCUACUGCAAUCAUAACAAGUAGUCAUGCACCAUAAUAUAGCAAAACGAAUUUUGAUAACAUCCUAUGUUACAUGGUAAGUUCCAUUGGAUAGAAUUCUCAACGUACUAAUUCUCUAGACAGCAUGAAACAUAGUUUUGUUCUUCUGUAAUUCAUGAUUCGCAUAUUGAACCAGUAAAGCAAAAGUUCUCUAAUGAUUUUGACAUUGAACAAUUUUAAGUGAUCUUGUUUCUCUUCUGCUCAGGAUUAUGCCAAUUAAACUUCCAGUGGUACCAAUCAAUUGGAGAAAGGACAUAGCGCUUUCAUAGAUGAAACAUGUUGUAAGCUUGAUUUGUUGAUCCUGAUAACGAUAGUGAUAUGCAGGACAAACAUGGUUAUAGCUUGUCCAAGUUGAAAAGAAAUAGUUCAUUUGGUCUCAGAUGCUAUGAGAAAAUAAUUUAAAAAGAAUAGAAGCAGCAAUGGAACAGGUCGAUAAUCGAACACAGGUAACAAUCUUCUCCUAUAAAUUUGUUUGUGCUAAAUAGCUAUAGUAAUGUAGGAUAUUGAUAAUAUUAGUGUUACAGGAAUAGCUGCAGCCAGUCUUGGAAAAUCAUCAACGAUGCUGUACAGCUAGCUAAACUGUACAAUAUGCUAUUUAUUCAACCACAUGGUGGGUUCACACCACAACACACUUGGACAUUGCAAUACCACUUUUGGACAUGGAAUGGUGCUAACCUUAUAGUCUCUGAUAAAUCACAAACAACAAUUGAAAUGCCAUUCAAGAAUUUCUUACCAAAUCUGAAAUUUGUUGUAUUACAUGGAAUAAAUCUCAAUUAAAAUGUAAUGGGUUCUAUUUCGGUAAUCCUAGUGGCUCUCACACUAAAUUUCAAGUUUUGGUGCAUGUUUGUGUAUGAAUUUCUAUUUAUUUUCGUCAUAUGUAGUUUCUUUCUCUUAUAGUUAAUAGGAUAUCGAGAAAAGUUUGGUGGAGUUAGAAGUUUGAAUCUAAACUUUUAGCCCUUGUUUGAGCCCCA